CCUACGGGAGGCAGCAGUGGGGAAUAUUGCGCAAUGGGCGAAAGCCUGACGCAGCGACGCCGCGUGAGGGAUGAAGGUCUUCGGAUCGUAAACCUCUGUCAGUAGGGAAGAACGGUCACUGUGCUAAUCAGCAGUGAAUUGCCGGUACCGUCAAAGGAAGCACCGGCUAACGCCGUGCGAGCAGCCGCGGUAAUACGGAGGGUGCGAGCGUUAAUUGGAAUUACUGGGCGGAAAGCGCGCGUAGGCGGGAUGUCAAGUCAAGGGUGAAAUCCCCGCGCUCAACGUGGGAACUGCCUUUGAAACUGUCAAACUGGAGUGUGUGAGAGGAUGGUGGAAUUCCAGGUGUAGGGGUGAAAUCCGGAGAUAUCUGGAGGAACAUCAAUGGCGAAGGCGACUAUCUGGCACAUAACUGACGCUGAGGAGCGAAAGCGUGGGUAGCAAACAGGAUUAGAUACCCCAGUAGUC
rnacentral:rRNA from 1 species